rnacentral:rRNA from 1 species
ACCAAAUAGAUACCCAGGUAGUCCACGCCCUAAAUGAUGCGAACUGGAUGUUGGGUACAUUACGGUACUCAGUGUCGAAAGCUAACGCGUUAAGUUCGCCGCCUGGGGAGUACGGUCGCAAGACUGAAACUCAAAGGAAUUGACGGGGGCCCGGCACAAGCGGUGGAGUAUGUGGUUUAAAUUUCGAUGCAAUGCGAAGAACCUUACCUGGCCUUGACAUCUGUCGAAUCCUGCAGAGAUGCGGGAGGUGCCGCAAGGAACGACAAGACAGGUGCUGCAUGGCUGUCGUCAGCUCGCGUCGUGAGAUG